rnacentral:misc_RNA from 1 species
CCUCCUUUCUAAGGAAAUUUCUUAAUGAAAAUAAAUCUUCGUGAUUUAUGAUCUUUUGAAAUUCUUGGAACAUAAUGUCAGAUUUAUCUGACAAAACAUUGCUGGAUUGUCGCCAUCUUCGUUUCUCUUUCUCAGGAUUAAGUUAUACCCUAAUCGGAAUAGCGGGCCUGUAGCUCAGCUUGGUUAGAGCGCACGCCUGAUAAGCGUGAGGUCGGUAGUUCA